rnacentral:tRNA from 1 species
GUGCCUGUGGUGAAAAUGGUAGACACGCCAGUCUUAGAAACUGGUGCCAAAAGGUGUGAGGGUUCGAGUCCCUCCGGGCACACCA